GAACGCUAUCGGUAUGCUUAACACAUGCAAGUCGGACGGACCAAUUGGGGCUUGCCCCAAUUAGUUAGUGGCAGACGGGUGAGUAACACGUGGGAAUCUGCCCAUCAGUACGGAAUAACUUUUAGAAAUAAAAGCUAAUACCGUAUAUUCUCUACGGAGGAAAGAUUUAUCGCUGAUGGAUGAGCCCGCGCCAGAUUAGGUAGUUGGUGAGGUAACGGCUCACCAAGCCGACGAUCUGUAGCUGGUCUGAGAGGAUGAUCAGCCACACUGGGACUGAGACACGGCCCAGACUCCUACGGGAGGCAGCAGUGGGGAAUAUUGGACAAUGGGCGAAAGCCUGAUCCAGCAAUACCGAGUGAGUGAUGAAGGCCUUAGGGUUGUAAAGCUCUUUUAGCAAGGAAG
rnacentral:rRNA from 1 species